rnacentral:rRNA from 1 species
GUGGGGAAUAUUGCACAAUGGAGGAAACUCUGAUGCAGCGACGCCGCGUGAGUGAAGAAGUAUCUCGGUAUGUAAAGCUCUAUCAGCAGGAAAGAAAAUGACGGUACCUGACUAAGAAGCCCCGGCUAACUACGUGCCAGCAGCCGCGGUAAUACGUAGGGGGCAAGCGUUAUCCGGAUUUACUGGGUGUAAAGGGAGCGUAGACGGUAAAGCAAGUCUGAAGUGAAAGCUCGGGGCUCAACCCCGGAACUGCUUUGGAAACUGUUUUACUGGAGUGCAGGAGAGGUAAGCGGAAUUCCUAGUGUAGCGGUGAAAUGCGUAGAUAUUAGGAGGAACACCAGAGGCGAAGGCGGCUUACUGGACUGUAACUGACGUUGAGGCUCGAAGGCGUGGGGAGCAAACAGG